UCAAGCUCUGCUUGGUGUUGGGCGUCUGUCCCGCCUCUGCGCGUGGACUCGCCCCAAAUUCAUUGGCAGCGGUCUUUGCCUCCUCUCGCGCAGCACAAUUGCGUUUCUUGAGGGGGUGGGUCGCAU
rnacentral:rRNA from 1 species